rnacentral:rRNA from 1 species
CCUACGGGAGGCUGCAGUGGGGAAUAUUGGACAAUGGGCGCAAGCCUGAUCCAGCAAUGCCGCGUGUGUGAAGAAGGCCUGCGGGUUGUAAAGCACUUUAAGCAGGAAAGAAGGGGUGGGAGUUAAUACCUUUCAUCAUUGACGUUACCUGCAGAAUAAGCACCGGCUAACUCCGUGCCAGCAGCCGCGGUAAUACGGAGGGUGCAAGCGGUAAUCGGAAUUACUGGGCGUAGAGUGAUCAUUGGCGGUUGAGAGCCCCGGGCUUAACCUGGGAACUGCGGUGGAUACUGUCGGGCUAGAGUGUGGUAGAGGGGAGUGGAAUUUCCGGUGUAGCAGUGAAAUGCGUAGAGAUCGGAAGGAACACCAGUGGCGAAGGCGGCUCCCUGGACUAACACUGACGCUGAGGUGCGAAAGCGUGGGGAGCAAACAGGAUUAGAUACCCUAGUAGUC